UACGUAGGUGGCAAGCGUUGUUCGGAAUUAUUGGGCGUAAAGGGCGCGUAGGCGGUUUGUUAAGUCGGUUGUGAAAGCCCGGGGCUCAACCCCGGAGGGUCAACCGAUACUGGCAGGCUAGAGUACAGAAGAGGUAGCUGGAAUUCCCGGUGUAGCGGUGAAAUGCGUUGAUAUCGAUAGGAACUCCGGUGGCGAAGGCGGCAUACUGGACCACUUCUGACGCUGAGGCGCGAAAGCCAGGGGAGCGAACGGG
rnacentral:rRNA from 1 species